rnacentral:rRNA from 1 species
AUUGAACGCUGGCGGCAGGCCUAACACAUGCAAGUCGAACGAGUGGCGGACGGGUGAGUAAUGUCUGGGAAACUGCCCGAUGGAGGGGGAUAACUACUGGAAACGGUAGCUAAUACCGCAUACCAUCGGGUGUGCCCAGAUGGGAUUAGCUAGUAGGUGGGGUAACGGCUCACCUAGGCGACGCUCCCUAGGUGGUCUGAGAGGAAGACCGGCCCCACUGGAAUUGGCACGAGGUCCAGACCCCUCCGGGAGGCAGCCGUGGGGAAUUUUGCACAAUGGGCGCAGGCCUGAUGCAUCCAUGCCGCGUUUGUGAAGAAGGCCUUCGGGUUGUAAAGUACUUUCAGCGGGGAGGCUUUACCCGCAUAAGAAGCACCGGCUAACUCCGUGCCAGCAGCCGCGGUAAUAC